ACGUACGCUGGCGGCACGCCUAACACAUGCAAGUCGAACGAAGUAGCAAUACUUAGUGGCAGACGGGUGAGUAACAUGUAGGUAUCUGCCCUUUGGCCUGGAAUAACACGAGGAAACUUGUGCUAAUACCGGAUAAGUCUUUACGGAGAAAGCUUUAUGCACCAUUGGAUGAGCCUGCACUUGAUUAGUUUGUUGGUGGGGUAAUGGCCUACCAAGACUGUGAUCAAUAGCUGAUUUGAGAGGAUGAUCAGCCACAUUGGGACUGAGACACGGCCCAAACUCCUACGGGAGGCAGCAGUGGGGAAUCUUGCACAAUGGAGGAAACUCUGAUGCAGCGAUGCCGCGUGAGUGAAGAAGGCCCUUGGGUUGUAAAGCUCUUUCGUCGGGGAAGAAAAUGACUGUACCCGAAUAAGAAGGUCCGGCUAACUUCGUGCCAGCAGCCGCGGUAAUACGAAGGGACCUAGCGUAGUUCGGAAUUACUGGGCUUAAAGAGUUCGUAGGUGGUUGAAAAAGUUAGUGGUGAAAUCCCAGAGCUUAACUCUGGAACUGCCAUUAAAACUUUUCAGCUAGAGUAUGAUAGAGGAAAGCAGAAUUUCUAGUGUAGAGGUGAAAUUCGUAGAUAUUAGAAAGAAUACCAAUUGCGAAGGCAGCUUCUGGAUCAUUACUGACACUGA
rnacentral:rRNA from 1 species